AAAUUGAAGAGUUUGAUCAUGGCUCAGAUUGAACGCUGGCGGCAGGCCUAACACAUGCAAGUCGAACGGUAGCACAGAGAGCUUGCUCUCGGGUGACGAGUGGCGGACGGGUGAGUAAUGUCUGGGAAACUGCCCGAUGGAGGGGGAUAACUACUGGAAACGGUAGCUAAUACCGCAUAACGUCGCAAGACCAAAGUGGGGGACCUUCGGGCCUCACACCAUCGGAUGUGCCCAGAUGGGAUUAGCUAGUAGGUGGGGUAACGGCUCACCUAGGCGACGAUCCCUAGCUGGUCU
rnacentral:rRNA from 1 species